rnacentral:rRNA from 1 species
GACGAACGCUGGCGGCGUGCUUAACACAUGCAAGUCGAGCGGUAAGGCCCUUUCGGGGGUACGACGAGCGGCGAACGGGUGAGUAACACGUGGGUGACCUGCCCUCAGCUCUGGGAUAAGCCCGGGAAACUGGGUCUAAUACUGGAUAUGACUCCACGGUGCAUGUCGUGGGGUGGAAAGCCUUGUGCGGCUGAGGAUGGGCCCGCGGCCUAUCAGCUUGUUGGUGGGGUGAUGGCCUACCAAGGCGACGACGGGUAGCCGGCCUGAGAGGGCGACCGGCCACACUGGGACUGAGACACGGCCCAGACUCCUACGGGAGGCAGCAGUGGGGAAUCUUGCGCAAUGGGCGAAAGCCUGACGCAGCGACGCCGCGUGAGGGAUGACGGCCUGGUGU